rnacentral:rRNA from 1 species
AGAGUUUGAUCAUGGCUCAGAUUGAACGCUGGCGGCAGGCCUAACACAUGCAAGUCGAACGGUAACAGGAAGCAGCUUGCUGCUUCGCUGACGAGUGGCGGACGGGUGAGUAAUGUCUGGGAAACUGCCUGAUGGAGGGGGAUAACUACUGGAAACGGUGGCUAAUACCGCAUAACGUCGCAAGACCAAAGAGGGGGACCUUCGGGCCUCUUGCCAUCAGAUGUGCCCAGAUGGGAUUAGCUAGUUUGGUGAGGUAACGGCUCACCAAGGCGACGAUCCCUAGCUGGUCUGAGAGGAUGACCAGCCACACUGGAACUGAGACACGGUCCAGACUCCUACGGGAGGCAGCAGUGGGGAAUAUUGCACAAUGGGCGCAAGCCUGAUGCAGCCAUGCCGCGUGUAUGAAGAAGGCCUUCGGGUUGUAAAGUACUUUCAGCGGGGAGGAAGGUGUUGUGGUUAAUAACCACAGCAAUUGACGUUACCCGCAGAAGAAGCACCGGCUAACUCCGUGCCAGCAGCCGCGGUAAUACGGAGGGUGCAAGCGUUAAUCGGAAUUACUGGGCGUAAAGCGCACGCAGGCGGUCUGUCAAGUCGGAUGUGAAAUCCCCGGGCUCAACCUGGGAACUGCAUUCGAAACUGGCAGGCUUGAGUCUUGUAGAGGGGGGGUAGAAUUCCAGGUGUAGCGGUGAAAUGCGUAGAGAUCUGGAGGAAUACCGGUGGCGAAGGCGGCCCCCUGGACAAAGACUGACGCUCAGGUGCGAAAGCGUGGGGAGCAAACAGGAUUAGAUACCCUGGUAGUCCACGCCGUAAACGAUGUCUACUUGGAGGUUGUGCCCUUGAGGCGUGGCUUCCGGAGCUAACGCGUUAAGUAGACCGCCUGGGGAGUACGGCCGCAAGGUUAAAACUCAAAUGAAUUGACGGGGGCCCGCACAAGCGGUGGAGCAUGUGGUUUAAUUCGAUGCAACGCGAAGAACCUUACCUGGUCUUGACAUCCACAGAACUUUCCAGAGAUGGAUUGGUGCCUUCGGGAACUGUGAGACAGGUGCUGCAUGGCUGUCGUCAGCUCGUGUUGUGAAAUGUUGGGUUAAGUCCCGCAACGAGCGCAACCCUUAUCCUUUGUUGCCAGCGGUCCGGCCGGGAACUCAAAGGAGACUGCCAGUGAUAAACUGGAGGAAGGUGGGGAUGACGUCAAGUCAUCAUGGCCCUUACGACCAGGGCUACACACGUGCUACAAUGGCGCAUACAAAGAGAAGCGACCUCGCGAGAGCAAGCGGACCUCAUAAAGUGCGUCGUAGUCCGGAUUGGAGUCUGCAACUCGACUCCAUGAAGUCGGAAUCGCUAGUAAUCGUGGAUCAGAAUGCCACGGUGAAUACGUUCCCGGGCCUUGUACACACCGCCCGUCACACCAUGGGAGUGGGUUGCAAAAGAAGUAGGUAGCUUAACCUUCGGGAGGGCGCUUACCACUUUGUGAUUCAUGACUGGGGUGAAGUCGUAACAAGGUAACCGUAGGGGAACCUGCGGUUGGAUCACCU